GUUGUUGUUGUUGCUAUUUCUUGGGCCGCUCCCGCGGCAUAUGGAGGUUCCCAGGCUAGGGGUCGAAUCGGAGCUGUAGCCACCAGCCUACGCCAGAGCCACAGCAACGCGGGAUCUGAGCCGCGUCUGCAAUCUACACCACAGCUCACGGCAACGCCGGAUCGUUAACCCACUGAGCAAGGGCAGGGACCGAACCCGCAACCUCAUUGUUCCUAGUUGGAUUCGUUAACCACUGCGCCACGACGGGAACUCCUCCACAUGUCUGUCUUCUUUCCCCAGUUCCAGGAAAGGCAGCCUCAGCUGCUGUUGGAGAAACAAAUUCUUGGGAGUUCCCAUGUGGUUCAACAGGUUAAGAACCUGAUUAGUAUCCAUGAGGAUUUGGGUUUGAUCCCUGGCCUCACUCAGUGGGUUAAGGAUCUGGUAUUGCCAUGAGCUGCAGUAUAGAUCACAGAUGUGGUGGGAACCUGGCAUUGCUGUGACUGUGGCGUAUGCUGGCAGCUGCAUCUUCAAUUCAGCCCCUAGCCUGGGAACUUCCAUAUGCCACAGUUGUGGCCCAGAAGAAAGAAAGAAAGAAAGGGAAAGAAACCGAUUCUUUCAGAAAAGGGAUACUCCACUCUAUUUGCAAUAUCUCCCUUAUAAAUUAGCCUUACCCCUCUUUGCACCCUUAAAGCUUUGGGAAUCCUUAAGAGUCCCUUCUUUAUUAUACUUCCUUUCCUUAAGCCCUUAUUAACUCCUUAGAAGAUUCAUUUGAAUCUUUUGCUGGGACAGAAGCAGAGUCCAAUGCUGGGGGUGGUGAAUGGAGGGCAAAAACUAGGAGGUGGGCAGGUCUAGAGACAAACUUCCUUUCCUGAGAGCUGGCCCCCUGGCUGGAUGCUGUUGACAUCAUUCAGGCAACUGAUUCAGACCGUGAAGUCUCUGGAGCUAGGGUCACCCCACAUAGGGCAGCGGGGAGCCCGAUAACCAUGGUUUGUUCCCCUACACCCUGCCUCACUGUUCUAAUUAACAAGUUGGGUCCUUUCCAGCUCUUUUACGUGGCUCUCGUGGGGCUGGGCUCCACUGGGGGUGGGUAGACAGUCUUACUUUAAGCAGUGUAUUGAUCUUCACGUGGUCAUGUGCCCCUCUUGGGGGUGCACUCUCAUGUUUUAAGUGCAUGCAGUUACUCUCUUGACUGGCUUGUAAACAGGUUUUAAUGGGGCUAUUAGUGUAAAAGGACAGGAAACUUUCAAAAACAGCCUCUUAAAUAUUCAUGAGGAUGUUAAAUCUGGCGCUUAAUCACCAGUGUUUGCACACAGCUAAAGGGGAGGGAGGACAGCUGACAGGCUGCCUUCACUCUGAACAAUUGACAGGGCAUUAAUAAACGCUCUUAGGGGCAUGAUUAAUGGCCAAGAGAAUACUUUUUUUUUUUUAAACAAACGGAGCCCCUCUCCUUUGGGGACUCCUUUUUCUGGGGGAGGGAGUGUCCAUGUGGGUAUAGGAGUGGGAUUCAAGGGGAGAUGGAAGCUGGAGGGGGGUCACAGACAGGACAAAUUCUUUCUCUUCCGAAAUCAUUAGCUGGAUUACCCACCCCCCCAGUCCCAUCUGACUGUCUAUUUCCCAGACCGUGGUGUCCUCAGGGGAAAUAUUCCAAAAACUUAAGCAGAUAUCUCCAAAGAAUUCCAUACCUGGAGAAUUCUUAACUCAGCUUUGGCAGGGCCAUUGGGGAAACACCUGGGCCUUCAUCGUAGGAGCUCUCUAGAGGGUCAUUAUCAGUUGCCUCUUCAAUACCUUAGUUGACUUGCUUUCAGACUGGAGUUAAAUGCAGACAAAGAUGGUCCAUUGUGGCCGAGGGGCUCCUGCAAGCUGUCUCAUCUCUCCCCAGCCCACCUUUCUACAUGUGAUUUUUUGUUGUUGUUGUUGUUGUUGUUGUUGCUAUUUCUUGGGCCGCUCCCGCGGCAUAUGGAGGUUCCCAGGCUAGGGGUUGAAUCAGAGCUGUAGCCACCGGCCUACACCAGAGCCACAGCAACGUGGGAUCCGAGCCGCGUCUGCAACCUACACCACAGCUCACGGCAACGCCGGAUCGUUAACCCACUGAGCAAGGGCAGGGACCGAAUCCGCAACCUCAUGGUUCCUAGUCGGAUUCGUUAACCACUGCGCCACGACGGGAACUCCUGAUUUUUAUUAUUUAUUUAUUUUUUGUCUUUUGUCCUUUUUUUAGGGCCACACCCAUGGCAUAUGGAGGUUCCCAGGCUAGGGGUCUAAUUGGACCUGUAGCUACCAGACUAUGCCACAGCCACAGCAAUGCCAGAUCCAAGCUGCAUCUGCGACCUACACCACAGCUCAGGGCAACACUGGAUCCUCAACCCACUGAGCAAGGCCAGGGAUCUAACCUGCAACCUCAUGGUUACUAGUCAGGUUCGUUUCGUUUCCAAAGUGCAAAAAAGAAACUGAGGGAGUUCCUGUAGUGGCUCAGUGGUUAACGAAUAUGACUAGGAACCAUGAGGUUGUGGGUUGGAUCCCUGGCCUCACUCUGUGGGUUGGGGAUCUGGCGUUGCCGUGAGCUGUGGUGUAGGACUCAGACACGGCUCAGAUCCUACGUUGCUGUGGCUGUGGUGUAGGCUGGUGGCUACAGCUCCGAUUAGACCCCUAGCCUUGGAACCUCCAGAUGCCUCAGGAGCGUCCCAAGAAAUGGCAAAAAGCCAAAAAGAAAAAGAAACUGAUAAGUCACUGGACACCAGUGACCCUGACUCCUAGUUGACCCCCAUAUCAGUAUGAUGAGACUUCUCUAGGGGAGUCAGAAAGAACAGACACCCAGCUGGUUACUUCAAAAGAGCUGCAGGCUCAAGUAUGCCAGAUCUGGUAGCAAGAUCUAGAUCUGUGCUACCAGACCCCAAACCAGUUUAAGCAUAGAAGAUUCUGGAAAAAUCCCACAAUUUCUGUGUAGUAGGAAACCCCUGUCUCAUUAUCUGAGACCAACUCAGAAAUUCAAAAUAGUUGGGAUAUUUUUUCUUUUUAUGGCCAUACCCAUGGCAUAUGGAAGUUCCCAGGCUAGAGGGUCAAAUCAAAGCUGCAGCUAAGGCCUAUACCACAGCCAGGGGCAACCAGAUCUGAGCUGAAUCUGUGAACUAUGCUGCAGUUUGUGGCAAUGCUGGAUCCUUAACCCACUGAACGAGGCCAAGGAUCAAAACUGAAUCCUCAUUGAGGCUUCAUUUGGUCCUUAACCCUCUGAACCACAAUGAGAACUCCUAAAACAGUUGGGAUUUUUACUGACAGGUUCCAUUUAGAAAUGAAGAAAGGCAUAAAGUUAGAUAUCUAUAAAUAUGUUUAUCCCGUCAUGCUUUAUAAUGGUAGCUCGGGGCAAAGAGAUCAGUGUCUUCUAUAAAACCCUUUCUGAUGCCCAGCCCCUGCUGUCCACAUUCACAUGCUUCUAUCAAGCCCUUCUCAGUACAUGCUACCAAAUUAGACUGGGAUGGGGAAGGUUGUCAUAAAGAUGGAUAACAAUUGUCUCCAUCCCCAAGAUAUAUUCCCUCUUAUUAGCAGUUUAACUCUAGGGCCAUGCCAGAAGGCUGAACAUAGUUCCAGGCUGAGAUCUUGCAAAUAUCACUUUCAUCACCCCUGCUCAAGAAUCUGAGGUGGCUCCCACAACAUCUGGGUUCAGCCAAUUUUGGCUUCACUUCAGAGCCAAAUACAUCCUUUCUUUUCUAGUCAGUGGACCAGGGAACACUCCACAGGCACUAUGACUAUGAUCCUUAAUCACAUAUUUGUUUAGAGACUCUGAAACAUUUUUUUUUUAUGGAAUGCCCACUAGGAAUGAAAAAUCAGCCUCUCUUGCUAAACAGUUUGCAUUAAUGACUUCCAUAAGAGCCAAUCUAUUGAUUUUUUUGUUUUAGAAACAAAACUCCACUUGUCUCUUUUAUCUGGAUAUAUAGCUGGUAGGUGCUGUUGGUAAAGCAACCAUUUUGAGAAAUAGUUUCCUUUUCAUAAUUGGAAUGAAUAUAUUUUGACAGUUUUUAACCAGUAAUGGUUGCAAUGUUUGGUACAAAUGCAAAGCACAGAUGAAGCUUUAAACCCCAGUGGGAUUGGGCACUAUUUUCUCAGUGAAAGGCUGACUCUCAGCUCUAUGAAGUACAAGGACAGAUUCCACAUGCCCUGUUUUGUCAUCAAACUGAUACCAAAUGUUGGGCAACACAACCUUGAUUUCACAGCACACAACUUUGGAUUGCCAUUAUGCCUCAUUCCAAAGUCUCUUAUUCUAUGAUAUCAUUUUUGGUUUGUUUGUUUAAUCAGCCAAAUGAUGUAGGAUCCAGCAUGGUUCACUGAAGACACUUGGACAAGGACUUAGGAAGUUUAGAUUCUACUCCCAGUAGUUUCCUUAAAUUACUCCCGGUAAUCUCCCAGUAUAUAUUCGGCAAACUUCACUUUCCUUACCUGUAAAGUGGGUAGAGUAAAACCUGUCAGAACAAUCUGUUGUUUCAAGUGAAGUCAUACCUACAUUACUACUUGCUAUUUCCAUUUGAUGCUUCACAGGCAUCUAAAAAGGAAAUUUUCCUACAUUGAACUUAAAAUCUUCCCCCCGCCCCCAACCUGUCAAACCUAUUCUUUCUCUGACAUUCCCAAAUCAAUCAGUGGGCGUCACAAACUACUCAGGUGCCCAUGCCAGAAACUAGAGUCAUCCUCUCCCUGCAUUGCAGUUAAUCAAUUACACAUUCCAUUUUUUCUUUUAAGUAAGUCCUUGAUCUAUUCACUCCACUGACCAGCCUAGUCCAAGCCAUUCUCACCUCCUGCCUGAGUAUCUGACUUCAGUCACCUCCUUACUCUCCUACCCAGUAUUGUCUCCUCCAGGUUGUAACCCCUACAGAAGCCAGAGUCAUCCUCUUGUAAUGUAAAUCCACUUGGAUCACUUUCCUAUUUAUAAC
rnacentral:lncRNA from 1 species